rnacentral:rRNA from 1 species
UACGGACGGGGCAAGCGUUGUUCGGAAUCAUUGGGCGUAAAGGGCGCGCAGGUGGUUCUGUAUGUCUGCCGUGAAAGCAUACAGCUCAACUGUAUUGUGUCGGUAGAAACUGCAGGACUUGAGGCUGGGAGGGGCAGGUGGAAUUCCCUGUGUAGCGGUGAAAUGCGUAGAGAUGGGGGAGAACACUCGUGGCGAAGGCGGCCAGCUAGACCAGUUCUGACACUGAGGCGCGACAGCGUGGGGAGCAAACAGG